rnacentral:lncRNA from 1 species
AAAAAAAAGAAAAGAAAUUUCUUCUAUCAGAUACACUAAAUCAUCUCUCUCAAGUUCAAAGUUCUAUAGAUCUCUAGGGCAGGGGCAAAAUGCUGCCAGUCCCUUUGCAUAGCAAGAGUGACCUUUGCUCCAGUUUCCAAUGAGUUUCUCAUCUCUAUCUGAGACCACCUCAGCUUGGACUUUAUUGUCCAUAUCACUAUCAGCAUUUUGAUCAAAGCCAUUCAACAAGUCUCUAGGAAGUUCUAAACUUUUCCACAUCUUCCUGUCUUCUGAGCCCUCAGUCUCCAGGAAGUUCCAGACUUUCCAACAUUUUCAUAUCAUCUUCUAAGCCCUUCAAACUGUUCCAACCUCUGCCUGUCACCCAGUUACAAAGUUGCUUGCACAUUUCUGAGUAUAUUUAUAGCAGCACCCCACUGGCAGUACCAAUUUACUGUAUUAGUCUGUUCUCAUGCUUCCAAUAAAGACAUACCCAAGACUGGGUAAUUUAUAAAGGAAAGAGGUUUAAUUGACUCACAGUUCAGCAUGGCUGGGGAAACCUUGGGAAACUUACAAUCAUGGUGGAAGGGGAAGCAAACAUGUCCUUCACAUGUUAGCAGCAAGAAGUGCAGUGCAAAAUGGGUUAAAGCCCCUUAUAAAACCAUCAGAUCUCAUGAGAAUGAACUCACAUCACGAGAACAGCAUGGAGGUAACCAUCCCCAUGAUUCAAUUACCUCCCACCUCCCAUGACACAUGGGGGUUAUGCCCUCCAGCCUGGGUGACAGAGCAAGAGCAAGAUCCUAUAUUAAAAAGAAAAGAAAGGAAAAGAAAAAGAAAUGGUUUAUUAUAUAUGUUCCUUAGAAAAAGAGAAAGAACUCUGAACAUAACUGAAAUAUUUGAGAUAAGGCUUUUACCACCACACAAAAGCCUACUUGGGAGAUGAGAAGGGAAUGGGCCAUGAUUUUGUAAUGAUGUAGGAGUCAAGGACUUUACAAUGAUAUAGGAGUCAAUGAUAUAGGGCCAUGACUUUGUAAUGAUAUAGGAGUCAAGUCAAGAAUUUUGUAAUGAUAUAGGUAGAUAGUGAGGGUAGGGAAGUCCUUGGUAAGGUUUUUCUUUUAAUGAAAAACAGCCCCCAAUUAUUUUCCUUUCUAACAAACAGCAGCCUGUAAAAUCGAGUUGAAGACAUAGGUGCUGGCAGUUGAGCCAAUCAUGUUAAAGAUGGCGGCUCCAUUUUCCCUUUUCUGCCAGUCACGUGUACAAUAAGGAGCAGAUAAGAUGGUGCUGGCCAAGGGGAAAGCUCAUUUGCAUAACAAGAUUAGGGUGGGGCGGCCAGCCUUCCCCCACACUUUAUAAACAUCAUACCUGAUCAAACCAAUCUGUGAGCACUACGUAAAUCAGACAUCAGCUCCUCAAACCUGACUAUAAAAUCUAGUGCAUCCGCUGCCGGCUGGUUUUUUCCUCUCAGAAGUCCCCUCUCUCUCACUAGAGAGAGAGCUGUUUUCCUUUCUCUUUCUUUUGCUUAUUAAACCUCUGCUCCUAAACUCAUGUGUGCCCAUGUCCUAAAUUUCCUGGCCUGAGAUGACCAACCCCGGGUAUUUACCCGAGACAACGUAACUGCUUCAGUAGUAACUCUGGAUACGAACUUAGCCUUGCAGGGAUUUCCAAGCCCCAGUGUGGCACAGCUGAAGCAGAAUCACUUCCAUGCCCUCAAACUUGGCCCAGAAGUACCAAAGGGAGUUGCUGGACCUGAGGGGCUGGGGCUUCAGUGACCAUAAUGGAAUGACCCAUAGCCCCAUAUGGGCCCAUAACUGAACACCAACCAGAUGGGGCUGGUGGAAGGCUACUGUCAACCUGAAAUGAAGAAACUGUUAUUGAACCAGAAUGGGGUCCAAUUGCCUGGUGCAGUAAAAGUAGAUAUCCACACCAAGGUUUUGCAGCAGUAGUGAAGAAGGAAUUCAUGAAUUUUAAAAGCAUAAUCAAAGACCAGCAAGACAUUUUUACUUUUUCCUUCAAAAGCUAAGUGUACUGUAGCCCCCCACCCCACAUAGUCAUAGUCUAAGUUAGAGAAGAAUACUAACUGCCUGUUUUUCCUUCUGUGCUCAGCAAGCCUUAUCUGUACUCACCAGUUUCACAUUCCUUGAGGCUCAGCAAGUUCCUGCUUUACCUCCCUAGCGCAGCUGCAAAGUUACAAGGUUGAUAAGCAUAUGUUACAGAAAGAGUUUCCCAAGGAUAUAGAACAUGUAGUAUACAUAAAUGUAAAAGACUGAUCAACUGCCUUUGUUCUCACUUCUAAAGGAAGACAUUUAUUUGCAGUGCACCAAGCAGGAAGGACCAGGUAGCUCGCUCUCAAAUCCUGACUUCCCCAGUAGCUUGCAGAGACAGGAUUUACUAUGUUGCCCAGGUUGGUCUUGAACUCAUGGACUCAAGCGAUCCUCCUGCCUUGGCCUGCCGAAGUGCUUGGAUUACAGUCGUGAGCCACUGCUCCCAGCCUGUACUGACCACAGGGCCUUCAAUACCCAAGGGAGAGAACUUGUAUGAAAACAAGUUAUGUCCCAUCCCCGUACCAGGUAAGAAAAUAAGUUUUAUCUGAUGCAUGGGAGUCCUUUUAAAUUAUCAGGCCCAAAGAGGCAUUAAAAUGAAAUAGCAAUCACGUCCUACUUUCCCCCACCCCAUUUUGAGCUAUGUGUUCAUCUCUUGAAAUUGCUUGCUAUUGCUAAAAGUAGCCAUAAAUUAACCUAACAGUGCUGCAACAGCCACUAUAACCCACACCCUAUAGCUUAACAAUGUAUAUAGCCAAUCAGCAGCUUAUGUUAUUUUGAUGGAAAUUCUUGGUAAACAACUCAGGAACUGCCUCUUCUUUCCCUUUAAAAAUCCACUUGUGGACCAGCACGGUGGCUCACACCUGUAAUCCCAGCACUUUGGGAGGCUGAGGUGGGUGGAUCACCUGAGGUCAGGAGUUCAAGACCAGCCUGGCCAACAUGGUGAAACCCCAUCUUUACCAAAAAUUCAAAAAUUAGCCAGGUGUUGUGGUGGGCACCUGUAAUCUCAGCUACUCGGGAGGUUGAGGCAGGAGAAUCGCUUGAACCCAGGAGAAAGAGGUUGCAGUGAGCCGAGAUUGAGCCAUUGCACUCUAGCCUGGGCGACAAGAGCAAAACUCUGUUUCAAAAAACAAAAAAAAGUCCACUUGUGGCUGGGCAUGGUGGCUCACGCUUGUAAUCCUAGCACUUUGGGAGGCUGAGACAGGCAGAUCACCUGAGGUUGGGAGUUCGAGACCAGCCUGACCAACAUGGAGAAAUCCUGUCUCUACUAAAAAUACAAAAUUAGCCAGGCAUGGUGGUGCGUGUCUGUAGUCCCAGCUACUCAGGAGGCUGAGGCAGGAGAAUUGCUUGAACCUGGGAGGUGGAGGUUGUGGUGAACUGAGAUCACGCCAUUGCACUCCAGCCUGGGUAACAAGAGCGAAACUCCCUCUCAAAAAAUAAAUAAAUAAAUAAAUAAAUAAAUCCACUUGUAACUGCUGCUAAUUGGAAUGUAUAUUCAGGAAACUUAAAUCUGUGCUCCCAUGUUACAAUCCUCAAGCUUGGUGCAAAUAAACUCUCUACUUAUAUUAAUUUAGCUUCAGUUUAUUCCAUUUAAAUAUUAAUUUAGCUUCAGUUUUUCCUCCAACACAGCCUUUGUUGAAGGCCUCUAGGCUCUCUCCUAACAAAGAACAGUGGGUCAGAUGCCCUGGACUCGACUCCAAGGACUCACUCUCUCCCCCACUACGAUGCCCCCAUGUUGUUAUCAUCAAUUAAGCAAAACAAAGCUUUCUGUGUUUGUUAAAGUCAUGAUGAAGAUAAUUAUGCGGUAGUUCAUCUCAAUGGAGCAGUCAUUCAGUCUCUGCUGAAGCUUCUGGGCCUUCAUUUCUAGUGUUUAUACACUGAGCCAACUAAGCAUUCCUGGUUACUUCUACUUCCAGUAACCAGAUAUCUGAGUCCCAUCAAACACAGUAAAAAGAGUUUUCUUCUUAUUAUUAUUAGGAAAAGGUGAGCUCCAUAAAAGGUGGGUAUAUAUAUUUUGAGAUGGAGUCUCACUCUGUCAGCCAGGUUGGAGUGCAGCGGCGCGAUCUUGGCUCACUGAAACCUCCGUCUCCAGGGUUCAAGCAAUUCUUCUGCCUCAGCCUCUGGAGUAGCUGGGACUACAGGCGUGCACCACCAGGCCUGGCUUUUAUUUAUUUAUUUAUUUUUAGACAGAGCCUCGCUCUGUCACCCAGGCCAGGGUGCGGUGGCUUAUCUCAACUCAUUGCAUGCAACCUCUGCCUCCUGGGUUCAAGCCAUUCUCCUGCCUCAGCCUCCUGAGUAGCUGGGAUUACAGGCACACGCUGCCAUGCCCAGCUAAUUUUUGUAUUUGUAGUAAAGAUGGGGUUUCACAGUGUUGUUCAGGCUGGUCUUGAACUACUGACCUCAGGUGAUCCACCCUCCUCAGCCUCACAAAGUGCUGGGACUACAGGCGUGAGUCACCGCGCCUGGCUGUGGGUAGAGAUUUGUGUCUGUUUUGUUUACUGAUGUAUCGUAGGCACCUAGAACCAUGCCUGGCACAUAUAAGGCACUCAGUAAAUAUUUGUUGAAUAAAUGAAACUGCAUUCUCUCCUGUGAAUGAGGCUUGUUCCUUUAUUUUUAUUUAUUUAUUUAUUUUUCAGACAGAGUCUCGCUCUGUCACCCAGGCUGGAGUGCAGUGGCAUGAUCUAGGCUCAUUGCAACCUCCACCUCCCAGAUUCAAGCAAUUCUCAUGCCUCAGCCUCCUGAGUAGCUGGGACUACAGGCACGCGCCAACAAGCCCAGCUAAUUUUUUUUAUUUUAGCAGAGAUGGGGUUUCAUCAUGUUGCCCAGGCUGGUGUCAAACUCCUGAGCUCAGGCAAUUUGCUCACCUUGGCCUUCCAAAAUGCUAGGAUUACAGGUGUCAGCCACCGUGCCCAGCCUGAGGCUUGUCACAUUUUAGUGCCAAAGAUGCCACCAACCCCACUGGGGAAGCAGCCCAGAUGGGUUCAGCAAGGAGCUUGUAAAAUAAACAUAAAAUUCUGGGCCGGGCACAGUGGCUCACGCCUGUAAUUCCAGCACUUUGGGAGGCCAAGGCAGACAGAUCACCUGAGGCCAGGAGUUCAGAC